AGUGAACGCUGGCGGUAGGCCUAACACAUGCAAGUCGAACGGCAGCACAGUAAGAGCUUGCUCUUACGGGUGGCGAGUGGCGGACGGGUGAGGAAUACAUUGGAAUCUACUUUUUCGUGGGGGAUAACGUAGGGAAACUUACGCUAAUACCGCAUACGACCUACGGGUGAAAGCAGGGGAUCUUCGGACCUUGCGCGAUUGAAUGAGCCGAUGUCGGAUUAGCUAGUUGGCGGGGUAAAGGCCCACCAAGGCGACGAUCCGUAGCUGGUCUGAGAGGAUGAUCAGCCACACUGGAACUGAGACACGGUCCAGACUCCUACGGGAGGCAGCAGUGGGGAAUAUUGGACAAUGGGCGCAAGCCUGAUCAGCCAUACCGCGUGGGUGAAGAAGGCCUUCGGGUUGUAAAGCCCUUUUGUUGGGAAAGAAAAGCAGCAGGUUAAUACCCCGCUGUUCUGACGGUACCCAAAGAAUAAGCACCGGCUAACUUCGUG
rnacentral:rRNA from 1 species